rnacentral:lncRNA from 1 species
CUUGCCCAUCAAAGCAGACGGUAUGGAGAGGAAGUUCACCCUGGCUUCCUUUGCACUACCCCUGUGACCUAAGUCCUUGCCUUGCUUCUCCAGAGAUGACGGCCUGGCUGGGCCGCACCCUGCAGGCGCUCUUCCCCAGCGCAGAUGCCCUGCUGUGUCCUGACAGUCCCGCGUUACCCUCGAUCUGAAGGUGUGGAUAAUUAAGCCUAGGUCACCUGCAAGAGAGCGAGGAAUGGAGGCCAUAUGAAGAUAUACCAAAGAGAAUGCUUUUGAUCCAUUCAAAUGCUUUUAAUUAAAACAUCAGAAU